rnacentral:rRNA from 1 species
AAUAGAUACCCUGGUAGUCCACGCCGUAAACGAUGAGUGCUAAGUGUUAGGGGGUUUCCGCCCCUUAGUGCUGCAGCUAACGCAUUAAGCACUCCGCCUGGGGAGUACGACCGCAAGGUUGAAACUCAAAGGAAUUGACGGGGACCCGCACAAGCGGUGGAGCAUGUGGUUUAAUUCGGAGCAACGCGAAGAACCUUACCAAAUCUUGACAUCCUCUGACCCCUCUAGAGAUAGAGUUUUCCCCUUCGGGGGACAGAGUGACAGGUGGUGCAUGGUUGUCGUCAGCUCGUGUCGUGAGAUGUUGGGUUAAGUCCCGCAACGAGCGCAACCCUUAAGCUUAGUUGCCAUCAUUAAGUUGGGCACUCCAAGUUGACUGCCGGUGACAAACCGGAGGAAGGUGGGGAUGACGUCAAAUCAUCAUGCCCCUUAUGAUUUGGGCUACACACGUGCUACAAUGGACAAUACAAAGGGCAGCGAAACCGCGAGGUCAAGCAAAUCCCAUAAAGUUGUUCUCAGUUCGGAUUGUAGUCUGCAACUCGACUA